rnacentral:rRNA from 1 species
CUUUUGAAAAUAAUUUAAGGUCUAACCUGCCCACUGAGGAUUUAAAUGGCCGCGGUACUCUGACCGUGCAAAGGUAGCAUAAUCAUUAGUUUUUUAAUUGAAAGCUGGAAUGAAAGGUUGCAUGAAAAAAUAGCUGUCUCUAUUUAAUUUUUUUAGAAAUUUAUUUUUAAGUAAAAAAGCUUAAAUAAUAUUUGAAGACGAGAAGACCCUAUAGAGUUUUAUUAUUUUUUAUUUAAAAAUUAAUUGGUAUUUAGUUAUUUUUAUAUAAAAAAUAAUUUAGUUGGGGUGAUUGAAAAAUUUAAUUAACUUUUUUUAUAUUUUUACAUUUAUUUAUGAAUUUUUGAUCCUUUAUUAAAGAUUAAAAGAUAAAAUUACCUUAGGGAUAACAGCGUAAUUUUUUUUAAGAGUUCUAAUCGAAAAAAAAGAUUGCSACCUCGAUGUUGGAUUAAAAUAAAAUUUUGGUGUAGCAGCUAAA